CAUACACAACCCCCAUGCUGGAUCUGCUACACUCCAAAACAUGUGAGUGACAACAGGCUUGACAGCCCUUGGGGUGGUGAAAGAUCUGGUGAGAGCGAGCCUCCCCAUCAUGCUCAUCAGCUCUGGAAUCCUAUUCAGAAUACUUGCUGAAUCAAGAUUACAUCAACUUCCAGAUUGUGUUCCCUUUAUGACUGGCCAGCUCUACAAUUUCUAAAAAUGGUUUGUACAAGUGUCUGAGAUGUUUUGACCUACUUUGACACAGAGAAUUAUGAUUAUACCAUGGGGAGCUUGGAGAGAGUGAAUGGUAAGAAGAAGAAAUCUCUCCUCAAAUUUUAUGCUUUUUUAAAAAUUGUUUUUAGAGUUCAAUACAGGAGUGUCCAGCAUAUGAUGAAUCUCAUCCUGCUAUCAGAGCACCGUAUUCUAACUACUGAGUGUUUGUCCACCAUUUCUGAAAUACCUGAUCAGAAAAAACAAUUUUAAAUUUGGAGUGCUAUGAAAAUAAAAAUUAUUUUUAUUUUUGGAUAACCCAUUCAACUUUCUUCAAUUAUUUGGCUACUGGAAGCAAUGUGAAGAAAGGUGGUACUACAAUGUCACACUGUAGGAUACUGGUGUGGUGGGGGAUGAGUUGACAGCUGUCUGUGGGAAAAGUUUCAUCUCUUAGUUAUGUCUUUCAGAAGCAGUGGUGGUGCUUCCAGCAACGCUGUGCUAGAGAAAGGCAGGACCAUGAUGGAUCUUGUCCCCAGAGGUAAUGUGACUUGAAGGCACCACCUGAGCCUUGCAGCAUAACCCAUGGCUGAAGGGUGAAGGAAACUCAGCCAUUUCCUGCAUAGCAGAGAUGGAUCUACUUUUGUACAUAUCAGGUAAAAACUGCUAUUGUCAGUAAACCACUGCUUGUGUCUUCUGCCAGUGGUUUGGUAGCUGCCUUCAGGACUAAACUUGUGAGGCUCAGUCAGAGAGACAGGUCCUGUGUGUUUUGAUUUAGAUAAAUGCAUUCUACACAUGUGUUUGAUGUUCAAGGCCAGAAGAAGGGAGGGUUGAGGCUCACUCAGGUUCAAAAAUCACACAGGCAAUUAACACAGAGGUAAGCAGUUUGAGGAAGAGUGGCUGCUGCUAUUUUAAAGUGAACGUGAAAAGCUGCCAAGAAUAUCUGGUAUGAACGCCCUAUCCUUACUUUCUCUGAGUAAUCACACAGUUAUCUGUAUGAACACACAAGUGUGUUCCCCUUGGCUUGAGGGUAACAAGAACUAAAGACCCUACCAUAUGGUUAGCUUUAAAUUUAGAGGUAAUAAAAUAGAUUGGGAGAGCUUGGAUGAUUUCCAAAGUCUGCCGAGGUUUGUAUUUCAUUCUUCUGGUGUGAUCUGCAAUAAAUCCUUUUUUUCUUCGCCUAGAUACGAUAAUAUUACCUUUCUCUUCAACAUUUAUUUCUCUAAUCUGUGUAAAUUUCUAAUAAGGGAAUUCUUGUUUAUUGGUGCUCAUGGAGAAUUUGGGCUGUGAGGCCCAAAUCUUGGUUCAUGCUCCAGGCAGUACUUUCAUACAGGUAAUAAUAAUAUUGAUAUACUUUUGAUAAGUGCAAAUAAAGAAACUCCUUGGAGAGAAAUAGAGGAUAGAAUUAUAGUGAAUGAAGAUUUAAGACUGACAUCAUGCAGGAAGGUUUUACAGGAAUUUUAAAGUGAUAUUUUAAAGUAAUGAUUUCAAAGAUAUAAAUAGCAGUUAUGCUGCAUACUGUCAUUUCCUUUAUGUGGCAAUCAGCUAUUAUUAGAUAUUUUUGCCUUUGAAAGGUGCAUAACUAAAACAAAUAUAUAAGGAACAUUGCUGUUCAGUAGAAUUCAACACAAAAAAAAAUCCUAAAAUUACUUAAGAUUCUUAAUUCAUAAUCAUUGACAGUAAUUCUUAGUGAUGUUGAUAGUUGGACUAAAUGCCAAAAAUUGCCAAACAAAUGACAGUUUGAAAGCUGAGAUCUCACACACUAGUCAAAAUCGGGUCAAACCUAGUUUUUUAGAAUGCUUUAUCCAUUAGCCAGUUCAACACACACAGUCAACAGCUAAAGUUUGGCUUCAUACACCAGAGAUUCUCAGCGAGGGAGAGUGGCAGGAAGAAAUUUUUAAGAGGUUCACAUUCUUUCUGCCAACUACUCUAUUAGGAUGAGUGAAGUUUAAAUUACUUGAUUGAAAACUUCUUUUAUUUGCUCAGCCUUGAAGUUAAAGCUGUCCUCUCCCUUGACUUCUGUGUCCAUGAAAUGGACAGAGUUGAUAGCCCAUAAAAUAGACUAACUUUUCACUAGCAUGCUAUUAAUAUUUUGUCAUCUGAAAAGAUCAAGAAAACUAGAACUAUAUAUGAGUUUAUUUCUCCUUGGAAAAACAUGUUAAAAAAACUUUAAGUCUGAAAGGAAGUGGUAGCAUUUUUUUUGGUUUGUGAAUAGUUUUAUUUUUUAAUUCAAAUUGAAAAAAAUGCAAUCUUUUCAAAGGGAAAAUACUACCAACCUUUUAGAUUUACCAAACUUUUCAAAACCAGCUGAGACAUUUGCCUGCAGGACCUGUACAUUUUCAGAGAUACCCCAAUAUUUAAAGGCUCUCUAAUGAUCAAGUUGAUUGUAAAUAUCUAUUACUAAAUGAGAUAUUGUAUUGAAUAGAAAUUUAAUAUUCUAUUACCUUAUAGUAUACCUAAUAUACAAUUUAAUCCAUAUUUUAACUCUACCUUAAACUUUUGUUGAGUAUUAUAAUAAAUGAUUGUAUCUGAAUGAGUUGGAUCUUUACUCUGGAUAGUGGUUCAGAGCUUUAAACCUGUUGUUGCAAACAAUUAAUUGUUCCUUUUCUUUUUGUUUCUCUAUGAUUUCCCAAAGUUUUUAAGUGGCAAUUGGAAAGAAUAUGUAUUUUAGAGUGUCAAAUCUAGCAAACUAGGAGCCAGAUACCAACAAUUCCUAAGUUAAAUCUCUGACAGUAUUCUGGAAAAAAAAAAAGAUUUGAGGGAUUAUCAGUUUUCCAAAUAGCAAUUUCAGAAUAUCUUUAAUAUGCCUGUUGGAAAAAAUAAAUCUGAUUUUCUUAAAAGUAGCAGUCUGUCAAGCACUUAACACAGUCAUGGUCUUACUGUUUUAACAAGUAGAACUAGCAUUAUUUUGCAGACUCAGCUUUUUUCUUUUGCAUAUAAUAACAAAGAAUCUUUACAUGUUGCUUGGUUUGAAGAAAGUUAUUUGGUGAUAUUCCCAUCUGCUUUCAGAGGGGUGGCAUAAUGGAACUCCUGGCCCACAGGGUGCUGAACCACAGAAGGAUUUGGGCUGGUAGGGCCCUCCAGAGAUCUCUCUAGUCCAUAUGCUAUUGAGGUGAGUAAGACUAACUUAGAAGUUAGACCUGAAUCUUCUGUGUCUUAGCGAGUUUUGUAUAUAUUCAGGGUUGAAGAGACUACAGCAUUCUGGACAUGCUUCUUGUGAUUUUUUUUUUUUUUCCCUCACUUGUUCAAAAUUUCCUUUGUUUCAAUACACAGUUUGAAGAAAGAAAUGUCUGUCUCAGCCUCUCCUACAAUCCCCCUCUAUGUAGUUGAAUAGUUCAUUGAGAUCCCCCUUAAUGAGGCAAGCUUCACUCAUUCACACUCUCCUUAUGGAUCAUAAAGCCAUAUCCCUGCUGGGCUGGAACCAGUGGGUCAAUAUGUAUUACAUAUUGGGGAACCCAAACCCUUGGCUUUAUGCAGGACACUGCUGAGUGUUCUUACUUGUCCUUUUCUCUUUGUCGCACUGCAUCUACCCCUGCUCAGGCAUGACCAUGACUUAACCAGAAGCCUCUGAGCAAAAUCUACCCUGCUUCACAUUUUGCCUGCCGCCUCUGCAGGUUCUUCAAGUGGUCCUUUAUAAAUAAAAGGGAGUUAUUCUCCUUCAGCCUCUACCAUGUCUGAGACCUCAGAAUCUUUCUCAGAGCCCAUGCUGCUGCAGCACAAGGGGUGAUCACUGCAGGCUGUUCCCAGGAUUGUGCUCCUUAGCACAUCUUCAUCUGUUUCCUUGGGCAGGCACCCUGCAUCCCGCACCACUGGACUCAAUGGACAACCUCACCUUAUCAUCUGUAUUGUUCUCCAUGGGGUUGUGGAGAUAAAGUCAAAUAAAAUCUAUUCUUUAUUUUUAGAUCCUCCUGCACCCAGGAACAAAUAAUGAACUAGGUAAUAGGUAAUUAUCUAGGUAAUUAUCUAGUUGCAUUUUUUUAUGUCUGACUGAAUAGUGUCUCACAUUGAAGGAAUAACAAAUGUUCCCAAUGACUUCGGUGGAGUGGGACUUAUCCCUGUUGUUUAUGAAGACUCCCUUUGCUGGUGAGUAUCUGGGACCUGAAAUACCUGGUAGCUUCUGACAGAAAAAGCAGAAGUUUAUCCUUAUUCAAAUAUUUAUGAAAUAAAUAUAACAAAACUAGAUCAAACAUUAAACUCCCUCCACCCUGCCCCAAGGAAAUGCGCCUUUAGUAACUGAAUAACAAUCAGAAUACAUACAAGACUUAUUCUGCUAAAUAUAAACGGUAAAUUUGUUAGGUUGGCUAUUGAACAUCACUUUAAUAGCAUUGAUUACUAAAGAAAUUUCCAUUUCACUAUCAUUUAAUAUUCAUAGCUCUUACAUACUUCUUUUAAUUGUUCUGGAAUAUAAUGAACCAAGUUAAAUUAAGUUGCUCUGUAAUCAAUAAUAUGUUACUCUGCCACACGAAGUUCAAGAAGUGUUCAUGAAAUAGGGAGCACAAAAUGAUUGUAAAUACAUUUGGAAGAGACAAGACAAAAGUUACUUUACAAAACACAGGAAGGACUACUUGAAGUCUUUUCUUAAUACCUUUCUUUUAUAGAACAUAAAGGAUUUUGUUAAUAUAUUCUUUUGAAAAUAAAAGACAAAAUGGCAUAAAUCACACUAUAGCUGUUCACUUGUGUUCAUGGGAAAAUUUGUACAAAUGUGCCUUAGUAUGAUUCAAAUAAAGAUUAGAUUCACAUUAGUAAGAAUGUAAAAGUAGGUAGAUAUCUGAAGUUUUUCUAGCUCAGAAGGCAUCUACAAAGGCUAUUUAUUAACUGAUUUGGUAAUUAACCAAGCUUACCCAAGAUCAGAAAAGACAUCACAACUAUUGUGAUGAAUUUUCUAAACUAUUAGUCCUUAUAUACUGUAUCAUUCUUUAAAUAUCACCCCUGCUUGAACAAAUGGUGUUGCACUGAUCUUUUCAAAUAAUGACAAUACUUUGUGAGACUUUUUUGUUGCUGACCUAAAUAAACAGGUUAUGAUGUCUGUGGACACUCCCCUUUUAGAAAAAAAGGUAAGAGAUCAGCUUGUGGGUUUAUCUAGUGGUAUGCAUAUAUCAGCUACUUGUUCUUCCUUCAGUCAUAGCAAUCAUCUGUGGUAGCUUCAGUCAGCUUAAAAGCCAAAAUUUCCUUUCUAUGGAAAACAUGCAGGAACAGAAGUGAUCUCAGAGCUGAUCUCAUCCCAGGAUCAGGCGGGGACAUGAUUAAGGAAUGAUUUAGGACUCAAACCCUGGAGCUGAGGAACGCUCCUGGGUCCUGUAGAUAAACACUGUCUUGCCUAAAGCUGUAUAAGGCAAAUGUUUGUCUGAGAUUACAAUCAUAGACCUGCAAAUUUAAAGUUUUCAGGUGAGUGUAUUAAUAUUGCAAAAGUACCUUGUUCCCUUUUACACAUUUUUUUUUAUCAUCAGUAUAAUCUGGCUUGCUAGAACCUGGCCUUGCAGACCGCUGUGUUCAUGCAUGACCAGGUUACAGCUAAUCUUUAAAGAAUUUAACAGUCAUCUUUUCUAUGCCAGUGACUGCACCAAAUUGAAAUAUAUUAAUAAUUUACAAUUAUAGUUCAGACUAUUUGUUGUAAAACCCGCAGAAAACAACCAGAAAAAUAAGCAUAAUGAAAACCCUACAGAUUAUAAUAUCAGGAAAGCAUUUUAUGUCUUGUAUAAAUACAGGGUAACUCAAAGAGCAAAAAAGUUACAUUUUUUUGAAAUAAAUGGUAGCCGAUAAAGCAAUCUACCUACCAAGUCACUGAGUAUCUAUCCAAUUUCCACGUUUCCUCUUGAUGCCUUGCAGCCUGUGGGACAAGAGGUGUUUGAAUGACAAAUGCUUCAUAACUGGAUGCUAGUUUCUGGGAGACCUUGGUAAACUGAAUACUGUUUCAAAAAGCAAAAUUCCAGUUAACCUGUAUCUGGAACAUUCUAGUUUUGGCAAGUGUGUAUGUGUUUCUGUUUUCAGCAAUCCUACGACAUAGUUAGAAUGUUUUAAUGUAUGAUUUUGGUACAGUCAGUUUCUUAGGAAACCUGUUUGAAACCAGUGAACCUUUGAGGGAUGUUAAUCAAUAGAAAUGAAUACAUUGAUAAGGAAAAAAGAUUUAAUUCUACCAAAUACUUGUUCAGAUUAGCCAAUGCAAGGAAUCUGGAUCUGACCAAAGAAUUUUCAUUUUUAUUUAUGAUUGUGUUUUUUUUAAGCUUUCUAUUCUGUUCUAUUUCUAUUUCUAUUUCUAUUUCACUGUCUGAAUCAGCUUUUGCUAACCAUUUUCCAUGAUAGCUUAAGUGCCAACAAUGGAACAAAGAAAACAGUGCAAGAUUAUAUGAAUUUCUUAAGAUAAAUGGUUUGCUUAAGAGUAAUAUUAAUUAGGUGCAUCUCUACAGAAGAUAUUGAUUUUAUUAAAAAUAAACAUUAUUGGAACAGUUUUAACAUUUAUUGUCAUCAUAAAAAAGUUCUCUCAUGAAAACUGUUUGGAAUUUCAAGCUUGACUGAACUUGAAAAAUGCAGAGCAAAAUUUUGCCAGAUUUCAUCUGACUCCUUCUCUGGCAUAUAAAACUUGGAUGAGGUUUUGAUACUUCUGGAGCAGAUUGAGAAAAUAGGUCCAAGCUUCAGAUGUGUGAGAAAACCCUCUUGUGUUCUUUUUCAAGGAUUUUCUUUCCCUAUCUUUCACUGACUUUAUAUGACCUUCAACAACACAAAUCACUUAAAAAUAUUGUGUCCUGAAUUUUUCCUAAAUAUAGGAAUUAUGUACUACAUUAGUAGGGAUGUUAUGGCCUAAAUUUAUUUAUUUUUUUAAGCUUAUUUUAAAAACAAAGCAGUAAAUGACCGUACAACUUUACAAUUGUGACAAUUUCACCAUGAGAAAUUGAGGUAGAACUGUAUCUCUUCAGAUAUGCUUUCCCAUUUUAAAGUCAGUUUACAUGAACCAAACUUAUGCCCCCUUAAUAUUCUUCAUAUAAACCCACCACAAUUCUCUAAGCGCUCAUUUUGCUCACAAACCUAUUCAGUUUGUGUGAAUAGGUUUAGCUGGCUGGACUGUUUGUGAAAACUGCAUUUAACAUUCAUGCAAGAUGAGCACUCACUUCUGGCAGUGUUAUCACAGACAGCCAAUCAGAGAUUGGUAGCAAUUUUGUGCAAAUUAAUUGACCAGUCACAUCUAACAGUUUAAAUAACAAAUACAACAUGGGACAGAUUUUGACAUGUUUGAAUAGUUCUUUUGUUCAUUACACUCAGGCUCCCACAGAAAGCCAGUAUUCAGGGUGAGCAAGACUACUGACUGAUGGCUAAUCUGCAUUUGCUACAAGACUAGAGUCUCAUGACCAAGCUGUAAAAAUUAAGGAAUAAUAAUUAAUUGGAUAAUUUAAAGUAGAUAUCUAAUAAAAACAUUAGUAAUGGUAAGAAGUCUCUCAUGAGCAGGAAAAAUUAGAUCAUUGCAGAAUGAUUCACUGUGGAUUAUUCACACAGCUGUAGAAAUUAUUCAGACUGACAGAUUGAUGAGUAGAACAUGCCCAUAAAGACGGGAUAUUUCUCACUCUUUGUUAUCAUUUCUUUGCUACACAUUCUACAGCUUUGACUGUGAUUCUACAAGUUCAUACAAAGCAAGGAAAGCUACCAAACAGGAUAAUCUCUGAUUUUACUACCAGCACAAAAUUAAAGGAUAGAACCCAACAGGAGCAAUUGGAUGAAGAAAGAAAUGGAAAUUACAUUCUUAAUUAACAAUGGAGUUAUCAACUAAAAUGCAUAUUAUGCCCUCUUGGGCUUAAGUUUGUAAGAGAUGUGCAGAAAAUGUUGGAGUUAGCUGACUGAUUUUGAAUAUAGUCAAGUAAAAUUAUUUUUAGUAAUAAACAAACUAACAGUCAUAGGAAAAGAGUAACCUUUUUUUUUUUUUUUCUUUGCAAUCCAAAGCAAACUUCCAAUUGUUAAAUUACUGUGAUGAAAUAUGUUGUGAAACUUCACUGACAAGGGCAUAAUAUUUUUCCAAAAUAAUAUGUUUUUAAACUGACAUCUUCCUUUUUCUUCAAGUAACAAUAGUAUUUAUGUAGUUUUGAAUAGAUUUUUCCUGUUGAAGUCACAAUAAUAUUGAACUUGAUCAAGUUUAACCUGAUGAAUUUAUGAAUUCAUGCUUUUAAUUUAUAGCAUGAAGAACUUUAGCUAAAGGUAGCUUCUAUAUUGGCAAUUUUACAGCUUAGUUACUAUAAAAAAUUUACAAUAAAUGGAACUUAGUCUUUGGAAAGAUAGAAAAUGAGUCUGUCAUCUUACUUGAAUAUGGAGCUGCUAUUUUAAAUACUACAGCUGGUAUACUUUGAUUAAACAAUGCCUAUUAAAUGGAUUACUUUAAAUGGAAAUUUUGUAGUGCUUGAAUUUGGAUAGGAGAAGCUAAAUUUGUAGACAUAUCUGCACUAUUUCAGCUGCACAGUGCAAUGAAGUUUUAAUCAAAGAAAUGUCAUAAAAUGUUUGACCUUUUGGAUUUUAUUUGUACUAUUCUGAAGCCAUCCCAGAAAGAUUAUAUAUUAAACAUGAAAUAAGAAAGUAUUUUGCCUUUAUUUUUUAUGUGCUAUGGUGUUCUAUGUACCUUUUACUGAAAUAUUAAAAAAAAAAAAAAAAAAA
ensembl:lncRNA